UCGUCACACUAUCAUUAACUGAAUCCAUAGGUUAAUGAGGCGAACCGGGGGAACUGAAACAUCUAAGUACCCCGAGGAAAAGAAAUCAACCGAGAUUCCCCCAGUAGCGGCGAGCGAACGGGGAGGAGCCCAGAGCCUGAAUCAGCAUGUGUGUUAGUGGAAGCGUCUGGAAAGGCGCGCGAUACAGGGUGACAGCCCCGUACACAAAAGCGCAUGUGCUGUGAGCUCGAUGAGUAGGGCGGGACACGUGGUAUCCUGUCUGAAUAUGGGGGGACCAUCCUCCAAGGCUAAAUACUCCUGACUGACCGAUAGUGAACCAGUACCGUGAGGGAAAGGCGAAAAGAACCCCGGCGAGGGGAGUGAAAAAGAACCUGAAACCGUGUACGUACAAGCAGUGGGAGCACAGGUUUACCUGUGUGACUGCGUACCUUUUGUAUAAUGGGUCAGCGACUUAUAUUCUGUAGCAAGGUUAACCGUAUAGGGGAGCCGGAGGGAAACCGAGUCUUAACCGGGCGUUAAGUUGCAGGGUAUAGACCCGAAACCCGGUGAUCUAGCCAUGGGCAGGUUGAAGGUUGGGUAACACUAACUGGAGGACCGAACCGACUAAUGUUGAAAAAUUAGCGGAUGACCUGUGGCUGGGGGUGAAAGGCCAAUCAAACCGGGAGAUAGCUGGUUCUCCCCGAAAGCUAUUUAGGUAGCGCCUCGUGAA
rnacentral:rRNA from 1 species